GAUGAACGCUAGCGGCAGGCUUAACACAUGCAAGUCGAGGGGCAGCACUUGUAGCAAUACAUGGUGGCGACCGGCGCAAGGGUGCGUAACGCGUGAGCAACAUGCCCGUAUCAGGGGGAUAAUCCAGGGAAACUUGGUCUAAUACCCCAUAGCAAUUAUUUGAGGCAUCUUAAAUAAUUUAAAGCUUUGGUGGAUACGGAUUGGCUCGCGUGACAUUAGCUAGAUGGUAAGGUAACGGCUUACCAUGGCUACGAUGUCUAGGGGUUCUGAGAGGAAGAUCCCCCACACUGGAACUGAGACACGGUCCAGACUCCUACGGGAGGCAGCAGUGAGGAAUAUUGGACAAUGGAUGGAAAUCUGAUCCAGCCAUGCCGCGUGCAGGAAGACGGCCCUAUGGGUUGUAAACUGCUUUUGUAUGGGAGCAAUAAGGUCUAUGCGUAGACUGAUGAGAGUACCAUACGAAUAAGCAUCGGCUAACU
rnacentral:rRNA from 1 species